rnacentral:tRNA from 1 species
GCGCCAUUAGCUCAACCGGAGAGAGCAAUAGCCUUCUAAACUAUCGGUUUCAGGUUCGAGUCCUGAAUGGUGCACCA